AGGUUGAACGCUGGCGGCAUGCCUAACACAUGCAAGUCGAGCGGCAGCGCGGGGGCGACCCUCGGCGGCGAGCGGCGGACGGGUGAGUAAGGCAUCGGAAUCUGCCCUCGAUGUGGGGGAGUAACGUAGGGAAACGUUAACGCUAAUACCGCAUACGACCGAGAGGUGAAAGACGGGGGACCGGAAAGGCCUCGCGCAGCAGGAUGAGCCGAUGUCCGAUUAGUUAGUUGGUGGGGUAACGGGCCUACCAAGGCGACGAUCGGUAGGCUGGUCUGAGAGGAUGAUCAGCCACACUGGGACGUGAGACACGGCCCACGACUCCUACGGGAGGGCAGC
rnacentral:rRNA from 1 species